rnacentral:lncRNA from 1 species
CUGAGACUGAACAUACCCAGGGAAGUACAGGACAGGACCUCUGGAGCAAAGAGUUCCCACUGUCUCACUUGACUUUAAGUCUCAAAGUUGACUUUCUUUGUCUAUCAGGACAAUCAUCCUGAAAGUCAGGCUUUGUGCAGAGAGGAAAUUUUUCCAAAUCUCAAAUAUUUCCCUUGAGCAUGUUAGGAACCAAGCCCUGCUGUGCCUCUAUCAAAGAGCAGUGGAGAGAACAGACAGUCUGGAAGAGGGAGGAUUUGGGGCAGAGGCAGUCCUUGCCAAAGAGCAUAAUAAGGUGAAAUGCCAGCACCUUCUGGCUCUCUGCAACGUGGGAAGCACUGUGGGUCUAAUAUCAGUAUACCCAGAAUUCCUUCUCCAGGAGAAGAGAGGUGCCAGGUUGAGAGGGAGGCUUUUGGUGCACUCCUUGUUGGGACCCUGGGGUGGGGAGACCACCUCAAAGGGUGCCCCCUUCAUUGUCAUGGAGCUGCUGGCACAUCAGCUUCACCAAGGCAGGGAUCUUAGUUUUGUUCCCUGAUCAUGAGCAUCCAGAACAGUGCCUGGGACAUACUAGGGGCUCAAUAUAUAGUUCUGGGUUGACUACAUCAGAGUAAAAUGGAUGGGAUCUGCCUUUGUGCAGAGUUCCCCCACGUGGUUUCAAAGGAUUCCAGGAGUCCCUGCGUGUGGAGAGCUGGAUGACCAGAGGGGACUGGUUGGGUGAGCUAACGCUGGGUGUUGCCACAGUGGAAGCUUCAAGGAGGACCUUUUGGGCUGGAGGGCAGCAGUGCUCUGGGACAGUCACAGGCAGACAUUCAACAUCAGUUAGAGACAGCGGGGGCUGAGUCAGCCUUAGGAGUGCUCGGCGAACCUUCUGCCUAAGAUCUGCGGAGUCUGCCAGACACCUACUCCAAUGCAGUAUGAAAUUCUGGGACCUCCAAGGGAGCAAAUUACACAUAUACACAGGACCACAGUAGCCCUGAUUCACCCAAGAAUCUCCACUGCCACAAAAUGAGGAUACAACAAGGGGAGGACAAGUCAAUAAACAUUUCUCUAGCACUGGGUUAGGAGUCUUCUGUGUGUUAUUGAACUGUGAGAAGGCGUGUAAGAAAGAACAUGCCUUUCUUGUGAAAUGGAUUUUACGAUCUCCACUAUAGAGCUGAAGACCUCCAGGCUCACACCUGUGACAAAUUGGCCAGACUUUUCUGGCACCAAGGACUGCCCUCUUUCAUCAAGUUACCCAGCAGACAAUCAAAGGUGUCAGCUUUCUUCACCAAGGUUUGAUAAUGUUCUAGGGCCCUGGGGAGAGCAAGAGGAGCCUCCGGUAAAAUUGUGAAAUGAGUGAGGUUUGGAUUGGACUCCUUAUAGCAAUCUUCUUCCUACUCGGACAUCCGGCAAGUCCCUUUGCUGACCUCCUUUCACCCCCAGGGCUACUGGCAGAGAAUCCCUGAAAACCAAAAGGGUUGAAGAUGUUAUCUUUUCUAGAGGACACUCAGAGAACAAAAAGGCUUAGAGCUUAAAUUGUGGCAUUUCAGGCUCUAAGAGGGGCAGUGUCUACAAACACCUUAAGUUGCGUUCCCAGCACUUCCCCAGAAGGCAAAAAGAAACUACCUGGAGCACGUUGGAUAUGGGGCUCUAGUUCUGAGACUGAAAAAUCCCAGUUCUCUGCUGAAGUUUGAGGCAUUUAGAACAGCUCCCCUCCCGACCCAAAGGAUGAUUUACUGCAUGGAAGGAGGCUCUUCAGUAUCAUGUGCACAGUGCCACAGCAUUGUAUCUGCCGUCACACCCCGUAUGUUCAGUGCGGCCAUGAGAAAUCAAGGCAUAGGACUGGUGAAGCAUGAGGCACAUGCCCUCCCAAAUUGGGAGUAAAACAAUGUCCCAGGCACCACUACUUUCUUAAACAUUGCUCUGAAAGUGCUAGUCAAUAUAUUUACACAAGGCCAGGUGCAGUGGCUCAUGCCUGUAAUCCCAGCACUUUGGGAGGCUGAGACAGGCAGAUCUCCUGAGGUCAGCAGUUCAAGACCAGCCUGGGCAACAUGGUGAAACCCUGUCUCUACUAAAAAUACAACAAUUAGCUGGGCAUGGUGGCAGAAACCUGUAAUCUCAGCUACUCGGGAGGCUGAGGCAGGAGAAUCGCUUGAACCUGGGAGGCGGAGGUUGCAGUGAGCCAAGAUCACGCCACUGCACUCCAGCCUCGGUGACCGAGUGAGACUCCAGUUUGUCUAAUAUAAAAAUAUGUAUAUAUAUAUAGUCUAAUAUAAAUAUAUAUUUUGUCUAAUAUAAGUAUAUAUUAUAUACAUUUUGUCUAAUGUAAAUAUAUAUAUUUUGUCUAAUAUAAAUAUAUAUAUUUUUGUCUAAUAGAAAUACAAAUAUAUUUUGUCUAAUAUAUAUAUUAGACAAAAGAGUGAAGAAAUAUAAUUUCAACAUUUUAAAAAGGAAGGAAACUCAUUGUUUGUAAGGGAUCUGAUCACAUCAUUGAAAUGUGCAAGAAAAUAAAAUUAUUGGAAAUACUGAAUUCCGUAAGGUUGACAGAUUUUUUUAAAUGCAAAAUUAAUGUCUUUAGACACAAAUGAUCACCACUGAAACAUCCAGAAAUUCCACUUUUAGAAAUCAUCUGAGAAAAUAAUAAGUGCACAAAGAUACAGUCGUAAAAUCAACUUCAGCGUUCAUCAUCGGACAGUUGUUUCAAUGAACUGUGGUUCAUCUAGACAAUGGAAUGCAUAGCCCUUAAAAAUAUUACUGUGGAUCUACAUUUACUGAAAUGGAAAGAUUCCCAUACUAUGGGAUGGUAUGAUAAGCAUGAUAUAAAGUUCUGAAAUUAUAGUGAUAUUAAACUUUUUUAAUACAUUAGGAUUUAAACUUUUAUGUACCAAUAUCAGAACAAAAGGCCAUAAAAAGAUUAAAAUAUAAUGACAAGCCGAGAAUAGAUUGCAUUUCUAUUAUGAUCACUGGUGUAUUUUCUUCACAACACUUACAUCCACUUGAAUUAUAUAUAUUUUUUGUUUUUUAUUAUCUUUCAUUCUCACUAACCUAAAGUGAGGGAAUGUAAGUUUACUGUUGCACACCAGAACCUUGAACAUCAUGAGUAUUUGUUGCAUAAAUUAUGAAUAAAUUCCACUUCUGCACAUUAUGUAUCUCAAUUUCUCUAUAUAUACAUGAUAUAGAGGGAUGUCUGAAAAGAUAAUUCACCCAAAGGCUGGCAUUGGUUGGCUCUAUGUGUUGGAAUUCUCUGUCUCCCUCACCCCUCAAUCCUGGCUCUGUCUACAUACCCAUAAAUACAAAAAUAAUACAGGAAUGUAUUCUCCUCAUUCUUUUUUUUUUUUUUUUGAGAUGACCUCGCUCUCUUGCCUAAGCUGGAGUACAGUGGCACAAUCUUGGCACUCUACCUCCUGGGUUCAAGCAAUUCUGGUGCCUCAGCCUCCUGAAUAGCUGGAACUACAGGUGUGAGCCACCGCACUUGGCUAAUUUUUGUACUUUUUGGUAUAAAUGGGGUUUCGCCAUGUUGGCCGGGCUGAUCUCGAACUCCUGGCCUCAAGUGAUUCAUCUGCCUUGGCCUCCCAAAGAUCUGAGGUUACAGGUGUGAGCCACCUCACUCAGCCUGAAUAGAUUCUCAAUCUUUUAACUCCCAGCAAUAUGGAAUAAACUGCAUAGAUGAAAACACAGAAGUUCUUUUUAUUUCUCUCUUCUGCCCACCCCACCAAAUCCUAUCUUCCUCCCCAGAGAUAACUAUCAUUUUCAGUUUUGUUUGUGUCCUUCCAGACUUUAAAGACACAUCUAGACUGACAGUUUUAGUUGUAUGUAUUCUUUAAAUUAAGUGAGACUAGUCCAUGUAUAUUAUUCUGCAAUUUGCUUUUUUCAUUUGGCAAUAUUGAAAUUCUUUCUGUGCCAGUACAUAUAACUUUCCUGUCCUUUUUUUUUUUGUUUGUUUGAGACAGAGUCUCGCCCUGUCACCCAGGCUGGAAUGCAAUGGCACGAUCUCAGCUCACAGCAACCUCCGCUUCCCUGGUUCAAACGAUUCCACUGCCUCAGCCUCCCAAGUAGCUGGGAUUUACAGGCGCCUGCCACCAUGCCCAGCUAAUUUUUGUAUUUUUAGUAGAGAUGGGGUUUCCCAUGUUGGCCAGGCUGGUCUCGACCUCCUGACCUUGUGAUCCACCCAUCUUGGUCUCCCAAACUGCUGGGAUUACAGGCGUGAGCCACCGCGCCUGGCCUCCUGUCCUUUUUAGCUGCUGCAUGGUCACCAUUAAUAUGCAUGUAUUACCAAAUAUAGAUGCAUUCUGGUUUGUUUUAUGUGCAUUUAGUCAGCAUCCAGUCUUUUGCAAUCGCAAGCCAUGGUGCACCAGUGAACACCUUGUUUGGUUCCCUUUGUAAACGUUGUGUGUAUUCUCUGAAUACAUGUUUUGAAGUGGAAUCGCCAGGUAAAAUAAUGCAUUCAUUUUAAGUAUUGAUAGUUUCUGCCGAACUGUCUUUCACAAACGUGACACUAACUUACCUCUCCCCUCAUCUUAGGUGAGAAAGCCAUUUCUCUACCCUCUUGUCAACAUAGAAUCAUAUCACAAAUCUUCUAAUGUUUUGCUGGUUUGACAGGGAAGGACUAUAUCUUUAUGUUUUUUGUUAUAAUUUUUUUAAAUUAAAAAAAAUUUUUAUACCAACGAGGCUGGUCUCAAACUCCUGAGCUCAAGGAGUUUCUCUUUAUGUUGUUUUAGUCUGCAUUUCUCCGAUCACUAACAAAGUUGAUCACUUUUACCUACGCUUUUAAGACAUUUCUUCUGGAAAAUUCAUGUUCAUAAGCUUCGUCCAUUUUCUUCUUUGGUUGUUUAUCUUUUGAUUAAUGGUUUACAAGAUUUUUAACAACAAAUACUUCGAUUAUUGAUAUUAUCUUACAUAUUUAAAACCUCCUCUUUCUCAAGAUCCGGAAAAUAUGUAUCUAUGUGUUCUUCUAAUGGUUGUUAGUUUUGCUUUUCAUAUUUAGCACUAUAAUACAUCUAUUAUUUCUUUGUGUUUAUGUUGUGAAAUAAAAAUUUAACUGAAAAACAUUCCCAAGUCAAUAACCAAUUGCUCUAACACCAUUAAGUGAAAAUAUUUUCUAUUUUCUCAUUUGGACUAUCACCUUUGUCAAGUAUGAAUUGAUGGCAUGAUUUUUACUUGAAUUUAUUAUACAUGUUUUUAUUUUUGAAUGCACUGUUAUAAGCUACAGCAGGCUGGACGCAGUGGCUCAUGCCUGUAAUCCCAGCACUUUGGGAGGAAAAGCAGUUAUUUUCCAUUUGAAUACAUAUUAUAAUAAUCAACAUCAUGAAAAAUUAAUGAUAAAUUAACUGAAAAUUUCAAGUGAUAAUAUUUUAUGCAUAAUUUAAUCUAAAUUAUGUAAAUACAUCUAUGUGAAUAGAUGCAGAAAAUAAUGAGUAAGAUGCUAACAACUACAUCUUGGUGGCUUUCUCUUACUGGUAUUUCCCAUGCACUCUCCAAUUUCACUUCUACUUUUAGGGCUUAGCUCUGCUUCUUUUCUACUUUGCAAGGGUUGAGUCUCUGAUUUUCAAGGUUUUGGCUCUUGUUGAAUGACACGAGAAGUGAUUAUAAUGUUGUAUGCCCUGAAUGCAUGGUGCUGUGAGGAUGUGGUGACUUUAUCGAGUCAGAGAAGAAAGGCAAGGGAGUGAAGAGUUUGAACAUCUGUUACGUAUCAGAUUGCCUCAUUUGAUUUUU